GACGAACGCUGGCGGCGUGCUUAACACAUGCAAGUCGAACGAUGAAGCGGGUGCUUGCACUCGUGGAUUAGUGGCGAACGGGCGAGUAACACGUGAGUAACCUGUCCUUUUCUUUGGGAUAACGGCUGGAAACGGCUGCUAAUACUGGAUAUUCAGGCUGCAUCGCAUGGUGUGGUUUGGAAGGGUUUUUUCUGGGAUUGGGUGGGCUCGCGGCCUAUCAGCUUGUUGGUGGGGUGAUGGCUUACCAAGGCUUUGACGGGUAGCCGGCCUGAGAGGGUGGUCGGUCGCACUGGGACUGAGAUACGGCCCAGACUCCUACGGGAGGCAGCAGUGGGGAAUAUUGCACAAUGGACGAAAGUUUGAUGCAGCGACGCCGCGUGGAGGGUGUAGGCCUUCGGGUUGUGAACUCCUUUUUCUCGCGAAAAAGGCACAGUUUUGGCUGUGUUGAUGGUAGUGGGGGAAGAAGCGCCGGCUAACUACGUG
rnacentral:rRNA from 1 species